rnacentral:rRNA from 1 species
GACGAACGCUGGCGGCGUGCCUAAUACAUGCAAGUUGAGCGCUGAAGGUUGGUACUUGUACCAACUGGAUGAGCAGCGAACGGGUGAGUAACGCGUGGGGAAUCUGCCUUUGAGCGGGGGACAACAUUUGGAAACGAAUGCUAAUACCGCAUAAAAACUUUAAACACAAGUUUUAAGUUUGAAAGAUGCAAUUGCAUCACUCAAAGAUGAUCCCGCGUUGUAUUAGCUAGUUGGUGAGGUAAAGGCUCACCAAGGCGAAGGAACAUAGCCGACCUGAGAGGGGUAUCCGCCACAUUUGGACCGGGACACGGGCCAAGAUCCUACGGGGGGGCGCAGUAGGGAAUCUUUGGCAAUUGAGGAAAAGCUGGCCGGGCAAAGGCGCGGGAGUGGAGAAGGUUUUCCGAUCGUAAAACUUCGGUGGUAGAGAAGAACGUUAGUGGGAGUGGAAAGCGCAUCAAGUGACGGUAACUAACCAGAAAGGGACGGCUAACUACGUG